ensembl:lncRNA
GGUGUGUUGGUACUGAACAGGUGUGUUACUACUGAACAGGUGUGUUGCUAUUGAACAGGUGUGUUGCUACUGAACAGUUGUGUUGGUACUGAACAGGUGUGUUGCUAUUGAACAGGUGUGUUGGUACUCAACAGGUGUGUUGGUAUUGAACAGGUGUGUUGCUACUGAACAGGUGUGUUGCUACAGAACAGGUGUGUUGCUACUGAACAGGUGUGUUGGUACUGAACAGGUGUGUUGCUACUGAACAGGUGUGUUGCUACUGAACAGGUGUGUUGCUACUGAACAGGUGUGUUGGUACUGAACAGGUGUGUUGCUACUGAACCGGUGUGUUGCUACUGAACAGGUGUGUUGCUACUGAACCGGUGUGUUGCUACUGAACAGGUGUGUUGCUACUGAACCGGUGUGUUGCUACUGAACAGGUGUGUUGCUACUGAACCGGUGUGUUGCUACUGAACAGGUGUGUUGCUACUGAACAGGUGUGUUGCUACUGUUGUUCUGCUGUCGAUGUACUCAGACACCCACCCAACUUGUUGGACAUUAAUCUUUUCCCUGCAGAGACUAACUUAGAUCAGUUUCAUACAUGACUAGGUUUAUUAGAGGAUAAUAUGGCUGGUGUGUGUGUGUGUGUGUGUGGUAGUCACUGAUAUUGGAAUGAAUCUGGCUCUCAUCUAGACUAAUUCCAGACCGGCUCAAAUGCUAUAUGCUAUAUGCAAACUUUAUUCUGUGUUCAGAUGUUUUUAUUUUGAUAUACUUUCCAUAUAACAACAAUGACAAUGUAGAACGUUCCACAUACAACAGGGUACAGUAUGUACUCAAAAAUGCUAGAAAAGCUUAAUGUAGAUAUCCAUAUAUACAUUCAUGUAUAAAAUAAUAUAAAUGCAC